CCCUUAGAUGUUCUGGGCCGCACGCGUGCUACACUGAGUGGAUCAGCGGGUCAGGUUGCGCGAAAGCGUUUCCUAAUCUUUAAAUCCGCUCGUGAUGGGGAUUGACGGUUGCAAUUUUCUGUCAUGAACGAGGAAUACCUUGUAAGCGCGGGUCAUCAUCCCGCGCUGAAUACGUCCCUGCCCUUUGUACACACCGCCCGUCGCACCUACCGAUUGAAUGGUCCGGUGAAGCCUCGGGAUUGUGGCCAGUUCACUUUAUUGGGAGUUGGCUGUGAGAACUUGUCUAAACCUUAUCAUUUAGAGGAAGGUGAAGUCGUAACA
rnacentral:rRNA from 1 species